GGGGUCGACCGGAAUUGACAGGAUGGAGACGAUUAUGUAAGCAUGCAGCGCGUUGGAAGUAUGGCGCUUUAAUCUCAACUUUCAGACUUAUAAAUGGCGAAAAUAACUACGCCUUAGCUGCCUAAUUUAGAAUUAGCUCAGCUUUUGUCCCGCUCACGCUUGGUUUCGUAGUGUAGCAUCCGGGGCAUCGAUCACGGAACUGGCUGAUCCGGCGUUGCGACGGAUCGGCGAGAAACAGCAACUAAGGAAAACGGUAUAGGCGAGCGACCGGCCUUCCCUUUCCCGACAAUGAAACGGAAGCUAAGCAUGUAGAAAGCGUAUAUUGUACCAUGUCUGGACGAGGGUUCGAAUCCCUCCGACUCCAC
rnacentral:tmRNA from 1 species